rnacentral:rRNA from 1 species
GUUUAAUAAUUAUUUUAAAUAAAAGUAUAGUAAGAGGUUUAAUUAUUUAAAUAAAUUAUUUUGUUGGGGUGACAAGAAAAUAAUUUAACUUUUCUUAAUUAGAUUCAUAAAUUUAUGUAUUUAUGAUCCAUUAUUAAUGAUUAUAAGAUUAAGU